rnacentral:lncRNA from 1 species
CGCGGAUCACGAGGUCAGGAGAUCGAGACCAUCCUGGCUAACACAGUGAAACCCCGUCUCUACUAAAAAUACAAAAAAUUAGCCGGGCGCGGUGGCGGGUGCCUGUAGUCCCAGCUACUGGGGAGGCUGAGGCAGGAGAAUGGCGUUGAACCCGGGAAGCGGAGCUUGCAGUGAGCCGAGAUUGCGCCACUGCAGUCCGCAGUCCAGCCUGGGCGACAGAGCGAGACUCCGUCUCAAAAAAAAAAAAAAAAAAAAAAAAU